AGCAGCCGCGGUAAUUCCAGCUCCNAUAGCGUAUAUUAAAGUUGUUGCAGUUAAAAAGCUCGUAGUUGAAUUUCGGAAUCUGUCCGUUGGUCGGGCUUCAUUGUCCGUACUGGUGUGAUGGGUUCUUACCUUCUGAAUAACCAGCAUGCCAUUCAUUUGGUGCGCUGGGGAAGCAGGACUAUUACCUUGAAAAAAUUAGAGUGCUCAAAGCAGGCUAGUGCCUGAAUACAUUAGCAUGGAAUAAUAAAAUAGGACGGCAUGGUUCUAUUUUGUUGGUUUCUAGGAUCACCGUAAUGAUUAAUAGGGAUAGUUGGGGGCAUUAGUAUUCAAUUGUCAGAGGUGAAAUUCUUGGAUUUAUUGAAGACUAACUUCUGCGAAAGCAUUUGCCAAGGAUGUUUUCAUUAAUCAAGAACGAAAGUUAGGGGAUCGAAGACGAUCAGAUACCGUCGUAGUCUUAACCAUAAACUAUGCCGACUAGGGAUCGGACGAUGUUAAUUUUUUAAUGACUCG
rnacentral:rRNA from 1 species